rnacentral:lncRNA from 8 species
UGUUAUUUUGUAUGUUCGUUUUGGAAUUUAUUCAAAGUUCAAAAUGAACCAUCUCAACUCUGCUGCAUAUUGGUCCUCAUUUUCCGAUGAUGAUUUCGCCAUAUCGUCCUCCGACGAAGAAAUCCCUGACAGAAUCUCCCACCAAACCAGGACCAAGCAGCAGAGGAAGGAGCAGAGGAAUUUUGAUUUGGACAAACGGGAGAGAUAGACUUGGGAUCAGGUUAUGGCCGGAGAAGGCCCAUGGAGUAAGGCUGGUAUGGACCGGGAACGUUUCCGAGGGACACGACUGGCGUAUAAGCACGAGAGGCACCCCCAAUAUUUUUUUUUUGGGGGGCACACGGGUAGUUUGGCUAGGCCUAGGAAGAGCCGGAAGCCAGCUACCCGUGGUUAUAUGGAGGAGCGUAUGAGGUGGAGAGCGCCAUGUUUCGCUGAGGAGCGCACUAUCUCACCCAUACGCACGCACAGUCCGGUGCGCGUUAUUCCAGCCCCUCGCAGGUGCCAUGCUAGAGCGGGCAUCCAGCCUGGUAGGAGGAUGCCUGCGCAGCGCAUCUGGUCGCCGGUACUCCUCCGAGGACCAGGCUACCCAACUCCCGCUCUAUGCACGGCUACCAUCAGGCCUCUGCACAGCCCAGUCCGCCCUGUACAAGCACCCCGCUCGUACAGGGCUACUAGUUCCAUCCAGCCAGGACGGGUUGUGCAGGAGGUAAGAAUAAGACCGCCUGUGCGCCUCCAUAGCCCCAUGUUUCCAGCUCCUGUCUCUCGUGCGGACCCGGAAGUACGUCAGCCCAGUCCGACUCGUCCUGUUCCCGCUCCCCGCACUAGCCUGGAGGUGCGUGUUCCCAGUCUGGUACGCCCAGUACCAGCACCACGCACAAGGCAUCUAGUGCGUAAACCCAGCCUCGCCAGUCUAAAGUCGCCAGAGCUGCCCGCCAGUCAACAGUCACCAGAGCUGCCCGCCAGUCAACAGUCGCCAGAGCUGCCCGCCAGUCAAGAGUCGCCAGAACUGCCCGUCAGUCAAGAGUCGCCAGAACUGCCCGUCAGUCAAGAGUCGCCAGAACUGCCCGUCAGUCAAGAGUCGCCAGAACUGCCCGUCAGUCAAGAGUCGCCAGAACCGCCCGUCAGUCAAGAGUCGCCAGAACCGCCCGUCAGUCAAGAGUCGCCAGAGCCACCCACUAGUCAGGAGCUGCCAGAGUGGCCAGACUGCCCGGAGCUGCCAGAGUGGCCAGACUGCCCGGAGCUGCCAGAGUGGCCAGACUGCCCGGAGCUGCCAGAGUGGCCAGACUGCCCGGAGCUGCCAGAGUGGCCAGACUGCCCGGAGCUGCCAGACUGCCCCGAGCUGCCAGAGUGGCCAGACUGCCCCGAGCUGCCAGAGUGGCCAGACUGCCCCGAGCUGCCAGAGUGGCCAGACUGCCCCGAGCUGCCAGAGUGGCCAGACUGCCCCGAGCUGCCAGAGUGGCCAGACUGCCCCGAGCUGCCCCGAGCUGCCAGACUGCCCCGAGCUGCCAGACUGCCCCGAGCUGCCAGACUGCCGGAGCUGCCAGACUGCCCCGAGCUGCCAGAGCGGCCAGACUGCCCCGAGCUGCCAGACUGCCCCGACUGCCCCCCGGCGAUGCCAG